CUUGCUUCUCUUGAGAGCGGCGGACGGGUGAGUAAUGCCUAGGAAUCUGCCUGGUAGUGGGGGAUAACGUUCGGAAACGGACGCUAAUACCGCAUACGUCCUACGGGAGAAAGCAGGGGACCUUCGGGCCUUGCGCUAUCAGAUGAGCCUAGGUCGGAUUAGCUAGUUGGUGGGGUAAUGGCUCACCAAGGCGACGAUCCGUAACUGGUCUGAGAGGAUGAUCAGUCACACUGGAACUGAGACACGGUCCAGACUCCUACGGGAGGCAGCAGUGGGGAAUAUUGGACAAUGGGCGAAAGCCUGAUCCAGCCAUGCCGCGUGUGUGAAGAAGGUCUUCGGAUUGUAAAGCACUUUAAGUUGGGAGGAAGGGUUGUAGAUUAAUACUCUGCAAUUUUGACGUUACCGACAGAAUAAGCACCGGCUAACUCUGUGCCAGCAGCCGCGGUAAUACAGAGGGUGCAAGCGUUAAUCGGAAUUACUGGGCGUAAAGCGCGCGUAGGUGGUUUGUUAAGUUGGAUGUGAAAUCCCCGGGCUCAACCUGGGAACUGCAUUCAAAACUGACUGACUAGAGUAUGGUAGAGGGUGGUGGAAUUUCCUGUGUAGCGGUGAAAAUGCGUAGAUAUAGGAAGGAACACCAGUGGCGAAAGCGACCACCUGGACUAAUACUGACACUGAAGUGCGAAAAGCGUGGGGAGCAAACAGGAUUAAAUACCCUGGUAGUCCACGCCGUAAACGAUGUCACUAGCCGUUGGAGCCUUUGAGCUUUU
rnacentral:rRNA from 1 species